UACUUGAAGAAAUAGUAGGGGAACAUGUUAUAAGUCUGAUUCACCACAGAACCUCACAGAUCCAAGGAGAGCAACGAAACUCAAGCACAAGAAAAUGAAACACAUGUUAGACAGAUUCCUCUCAGCCAGGGCUAAAGAGAAAAUCUUGAAAGCAGCACGGGGAAGAAGACGCUUUGGAGAGCCUCUGGGGGACGAGACAUAGGAGGGCUUUGCCCACAGAGCACGGGGGGCUGGCCAGGCCAUGCGUCACGUGCCCAAAACCCGCGUGGCAGCUGGACAGUGCCCACCGGUAGCCAGAGCAGCAACGUGCUGAAAGGGGAAGAAACAGAAAACCCCACCACCCAAAAUUCUUUACCCGGUGACCAUAUCUUAAAAAAACAAAACUGAAGGUAAAAUGAAGACUGUUUCAGACGUCCAAAGGGGAAAGCAUCUGUCACUAGCGGCCUUGCACUAGGAGAACUGUUAAGGGCGGAACUCGCAGCAGAAGGAGGAUGACAGCAGAUGGGAAUCCGGAUCCUUGCAAGAAAGAGAUGGGCACCAGAAAGAGCAGGUGUGUGAGUUAUAACUGCUCUCCCAUGGUGGGCGUAGCUCCCUUCUGGUACCACAUCUGCAGUCAUGGCAGGGAAGCGUAGGUCCCGAUGCUAGGCCUGGACAUAAACACGCCCGUGACACGUGGUACCAGAAGUUUCUGAGCAGUGGGAGAGGACCAAGGUUUUAAAAUGUAUGUGCCACAGCUGGCCUGGGAGUAUGUUUUCCACCCGUCAGAUGUAUAAAAUAUAAGUGGAGGGUUCUGUUCCCUUCGACAAGUGCUCAAAUGGAAAUUUUCUACAUUUAGUCCUAUAACUGAUGUAGCCAUGUUUAUAGUUACAAAUGUAACAUAUUUUUAUAUGUGCAAUUUCUGAGAAAGAAUUUUAUCAUAAUGGUGUUUGUAGGGCACCAACCUGUAGCAAUUCUAUGAAUAUCUAAUAUAACCUUGUGUGGAUCUGCUAAUUAUAUACAUAUCCCAACAUUUCAAACUGCAUCAGGAUAUCUGACAGGGUUUUUUUUUUUUUUUUUUUUUUUCUGAUGAAGUCUCGUACUUCUAGAAAAAAAGAGCCUUGCAAAAGCACCAUCAAUGCAGUUAAGCUGAGGAAGCAAGAGUUCUAGCAACAGAACUCCUACACAUACCCACCAACAGAUGAUUGUAUGCAGCAGAAGAGUAACUUGAUUCGACGUUAUGUAGUUCAGUACAACAGGGCGGCAAUUUAAAGUGCUUUUGGAUUACUCUUGUGCAGGCUUUAAUUUCAGAUUAAUUUUCUAAAUUAUCAAUAAUUAAAAACAAAUGACAGCCGUAGUGAGGAAUAGCUGAAUUAUCUUUUUAUUUUCUCUAUCGAAAACUACAUUAUGAGAGCUUCAUCAUAGGAAGAGAAGAUCCAGUGUAUUCAGCCAGAAACUGUAGGAAAGAAAGAAUAUUCCAAAGGGUAUUAGAAAUUUAGUAAUAAGAUAUUAUGUUAUUUUCUGGAAUUUAUGAUACAUUUGUCAGUUUUUAAAAAUUGAUAAUUUGCUUUUAUCUUAUUUUCUAAGUGCACAUUUAUUUUUAUAUGCCAUUUUGCAUUUGUUAUUUUGAUUAUAUUUCUUAGGACUUGACUUUAAUUGGAUAAUCUUUCAGCCCCACAAAACCUGUAUCUCUACAACACAGCCCCAGUAGGCAUUAAACUUUGGUGUGCUAUCUCCCUGUACGUAUUUUAAAAUGUAGCUCUUACGUUAGACACUCUUUUUUUUUUUUUUAAAGAUUUUAUUGAUUUAUUUGACAGAGAGAGACACAGUGAGAGAGCGAGCACAAGCAGAGGGAGUGGGAGAGGGAGAAGCAGGCUUCCCGCGGAGCAGGGAGCCCGAUGCGGGGCUCGAUCCCAGGACCCUGGGAUCAUGACCUGAACCGAAGGCAGACGCUUAACCAUCUGAGCCACCCAGGCGCCCCCGUUAGACACUUUUGAUGGAGGUUUUAUUGUCUCUCUUCCUCAGCCAUGAUCAUGCUUUCCUCGGAUAAUGCAGGUGUCUUCUGGAGCUCUGGGUCCUUUGGAAAGGGAGACAGAGAACUUAAGUGGGAGGGGCCGAGGGAGAGAGGGAGAGCAUCCGAAACAGACUCCGCACUGAGCGCAGAGCCCAAAAAGGGGCUCGAACUCGUGACCCUGAGAUCAUGACCUGAGCCAAAAGCAAGUCAGAGGCGUAACCAACUGCACCCCCCAGGCACCCCUUGAACACGUUCUGAUGAGCCGGUUACAAAGCCCAAAGGAGACACAUCUUGUGUGACGGGUAGGUUCGUGCCUGCAUUUCCCAGGAACACACAGGUACAGAAGAGAAUACUUAUCAUCACUUCUUCUACCAGAUACGAGUUCUGAGGCUGCUACUCAAUACUCUUAACCCUGUGUUGUUUGAAAGGAACACCUUGGUCUGUUUGGACAUUCAUUUGUAGUUAAAGAGACGACAUUUGUAUUUCAUUUAUUUGGAGCUAGGGAUUUCUGUAGGUGGCAUACAACUGCAUAGAUGUGUCUGUUCAUUAUUUAUGUAAGUGAAUCAUUUCUCCUGCUGCCCAUUGCUAACUGAACGUAAUUUGGAGAAUGAAGCAACCUUUGGGCAGGUUAAAAUAGAACCAGAAAACAGUUCUCUUGUGGUUCACACGGACUUCUUGCUCGUCUCUUAGUGGGUCUGUUUAUUUAGGAUGACUGUGAACCAACAUCGGAUAAUGUUUACUAUGUACUCCACCCUCUCGCUGCUCCCAUCCCAGCCUACAUAGACUGAAUGGCUAUUGGAGAAUUUGACACCGGGAGAACUACUACUUUCCAACUAUGAUGUGUACAGGGGAUUUUUAAAAAUGGAGAAAAGUCUAGUUUAUGCAAAAAUUGCUUCACCAUCUGCUUGCCCUUGUGCCCGAAAUUACUGCAAUGGGUAUUACAUAAAUGGUAAGACUUUGUGUAUUUAUUUCUAAGCAAAAUAUCCAUCACUGACCCAACAGUUUAUCCAUUUAGCCAGCAGAAACCAGAAUGAUUCCAUACUUUUAUACCUAGUGUCUUAACUCAGUAUAAAGAAGGAGUUUAGAACAGGUGCUUUGCUUUUAAAAGGUCGUGAUUUAAUCUACAGACCUAACCUUGUAUACACUUGUGCUUUCUCAUAUGAUGAAAUCCCUUUCUAUCAGUUCCUCCUGACUUUGGCUUUGAUUACUCAACUCCAUGUGACUUUGGAUCUUGCCUUGACUCAUUUUUGUCUAAAUAUCAGUAAUUUCCUCUGUCCCAAAAGUCAAUUCUCCAAGAACAUUUUAACUUGUUUUCUGGCCUUGAUUUUGAUGAUUUGGCUCUCUUUUCUAUAAUAUCAGAGAUUAAAAAAAAACAAAAAAACAAAAAACUGUAGCUAGGACAGCUUCCUCCUCUGACACCUGGAGUUUUGCAAGUUUAUGGAUGCAAUGAGAAAUGGAGAGAGAGAUUUUAAUUCAGAAGACGUCAGGGGGAAAUGAAUGGCUUGGAGAACACUAGUGGUAUGUCAACAGAGAAAGAUUGUUCAUCCUUGGGAGAAGGUAGGAAUCCAGAAUACAUUUUGUCAGUUUGGUUAUUGCCAGGUAGAGACCUAGCCCUAAGUGGGUACUGACCCUGUGGAGUCCAGACUCCCCCAUGUGCUAAGCCCAGGCUUGGAGGAUUUCUACAGGGUUUGCCAGAUGUUUCCAAGUAGGUGAUUCCUACCAGUAAAUAUCGCAACUCUGCCCCAACUGCUUGUAAGGGAGUCACCCACAGUGUUUGUCUCUUUUUAAUUUGCUUGGAGACCCUAACCUCCCUAAAGCAGUCCCCCUCACUGGUGGUCUCUGGGCUUUGGGAGCCUCUGAGCGUCUCCACAGUCUGCAUAGUUUUGAAGCAAGAAUAAGAGCCUUCCUUGCUCCUUCCUCUCAGCCCAAGUGUCUUCCCUUUUGUGAGAAUCUUGACCUGUUGUUGGGUAUAGAUCAGGACUUCCUCCUCUUUGUCAAGGUUCGUAUGUGUCUCUAGCCACAUCGUAGUUAUUCCUUGCUUACCUGUGUGCCCCAGGUCUACCACACCAUCGGAAAUGAGUGCUGUAUUCAUUUCCAAAGCCUUCCUGACCCAGGGCCUGGUGAAUAAUAGGUCCUUAAGAAUACUUAUCGAGUGAAUUGACUCUAACAAUCUUUUGGACUUGCGUAACAUGUUUUCCAAAGCUUCUAAGGAACUUACUCCUUUUUGCUAGUGUUGAGGCAAUAUACUGGAGAAGAAAAAUGUCUCUAUUUUAUGGGGUGGCAGAUGGCAUUUAACAGGUGCUCAAAUAUUUUAUAAAUAAAUAAAAGGAGGAAACAUGAAUAAAUGAAGUCAGCAGAGACACACAGUGGAAAUACACCGGGCUCCUGACCCCACGGUAGAGAGAUGGAAAUUAAACUCUUCUUGUUUCUUCUUCAAGGAGUAAUAUAUGUCAAGAACGAAGCGACUCAGAUGAUGGAAGGGUGGAGCAGGGAUUGAAGAUUCAGGAUGAAUUAAAGAGGCAGGCACUCCGUGCACGGAAACUGAGGAUGGGGACCUGCUACUCCUGGAGUGACAUCCCUGCUUUCCAAGCAAUGUGUUGGGUUGUGAAGAAGCAUGAGACAUAAUCCCUGGCCCCGAGAACCUUUCAGCCUGGUGGGGAAAGCAGCUUGGUACUUGCUACGUUGAUUACCUAGACCUGAGCACAUCUGAGGGAAAUGUUCUGCCUUUCUUUCAAAAUCCCAUUUAUUUUGUUCUUUAUGAGGAUCUAAAUGUGAAAUUCCAUAUGGAAAAAAAAAUCCUGAUGAUGUAAAGAAGGAAUCAUGUUGAUAAUCUACAUGAUGGGUACAUGAGGGCUCAUGAAGAAAUAACGAUUGCAAGACAUCUCUGUAACAAAAUGUUUUAAAUGAUCAUCUUGAGCUAAGCUUCACAACCUCUUCUCAGAAUGUAGCAGGGCCAUCAUAAAGAACUAAGUUCAGAUAUUAAGGUAUCAUUAGAAAUCUGUCUUGCACCAGCUGGGGAAAAACAACAACAACAACUUGUUGGGUCAUUUUAAGCCUGACUUUUGUGAUGGUGCAAUGGGCAUUGUCCGCAUUUUCCACUCUUGCAUUGCAUACUAGUCAAGACAAUAUAACCAUAUUUUCAGAAGCACUCAAGGUAGCCAGAAUUUUUAAAAAGAACUGUUAAUCACCCUAAAGAAAUUGCAAUCAUUAAUUAGUAAAGAAAGAUCACAGUAAUGAAAUUAUCAUAAAAUUUAAAGAGCAUGAAAAGAACUUCAAAAACAUAUUUUAUAUAUUUGAAGUGUAAUAAUGAUUUCCUAAUAAAACCUAAAGCUCUCUCAA